rnacentral:rRNA from 1 species
AGAUAAUAGAUACCCGGGUAGUCCACGCCCUAAACGAUGCACGUUUGGUGUGGGUGAUUCAGUUCAUCCGUGCCGGAGCUAAACGCGUUAAGCGUGCCGCCUGGGGAGUACAGUCGCAAGGCUGAAACUCAAAGGAAUUGACGGGGGCCGCACAAGCGGUGGAGCAUGUGGUUCAAUUCGACGCAACGCGAAGAACCUUACCUGGGCUCGAACGGCCGGUCAACGGGGGUGGAAACAUCCUUACCCCGCAAGGGGUCCGGUCGAGGUGCUGCAUGGCUGUCGUCAGCUCGUGUCGUGAGAUGUUGGGUUAAGUCCCGCAACGAGCGCAACCCUCGUCUGUGUUGCCACCCCGCAAGGGAGCACUCGCAGGAGACCGCCAGCGAUAAGUUGGAGGAAGGUGGGGAUGACGUCAAGUCCUCAUGGCCUUUAUGUCCAGGGCUACACACGUGCUACAAUGGCCGGUACAAUGGGCAGCGAACCCGCGA